rnacentral:rRNA from 1 species
GGCCCAGACUCCUACGGGAGGCAGCAGUGGGGAAUAUUGCGCAAUGGGCGGAAGCCUGACGCAGCGACGCCGCGUGGGGGAUGACGGCCUUCGGGUUGUAAACCUCUUUCGACCGGGACGAAGAGUGAUUGACGGUACCGGUAGAAGAAGCACCGGCCAACUACGUGCCAGCAGCCGCGGUAAUACGUAGGGUGCGAGCGUUGUCCGGAAUUAUUGGGCGUAAAGAGCUCGUAGGCGGUGUGUCGCGUCGAUCGUGAAAACUUUCAGCUUAACUGGGAGCUUGCGGUCGAUACGGGCAUCACUGGAGUUCGGCAGGGGAGACUGGAAUUCAAGGUGUAGCGGUGAAAUGCGCAGAUAUCAGGAGGAACACCGGUGGCGAAGGCGGGU